rnacentral:rRNA from 1 species
ACAGCCCAGCGCAUAACCUCCCGGGCUACCAAGCCUGCGGCGGCAUGUUGCGUUAAAGGAAAGGUCGUUACAAAGCUCGGCACAAUGUAUUCCUAAGUUUCGACUUGAAUAUUCCACUGUUUCUUAACGGAAACUACGGCUCCAUGGAGGGUGAAAGACCCGUGUGGGUACGUGGAUAAGUGCAUGAGUUCGGCUUUUUUCCUUGAGAGUCGCGUUGCUUGAGAAUGCAGCGCUAAGCAGGUCGUAAACUCGACCUAAGGCUAAAUAUUUCCACAGAACCGAUAUUAAACAAGUACCGCGAGGGAAAGUUGAAAAGUACUCUGAAGAGAGAGUUAAAAGACCGUGAAACCGUACAGAGUAUAAGCUAAUGGUUAUUUGGAAGGCAGGCACAGGCAUUUUCAUUAGGCUGAAAGUUCGAAGCUAUCGUGCAUGUGUUUCCGGGAGUGGAAAAAACAGUGGCCUUAAGUUGAUAUCACUCCUAGGAUAACUCGCGGGUCUCUGACAGUGGUAACUGGUAAGGUUCUAAUGAGGAACCGAACCUAGGCUGGGCUUGUGCGAGCACCGGUUUCUAGUCAUGCGUAAACGAGUUGUGUUAAUACAGCCCACCACUCUCUUUGUAAGGUCACCCGUGUGAGACUUGCCAGUGUGUUUUCGUGGCGGACUCUCUGGUUUCAAAUACUUUGUUGGUAUUGUCCGGCCGAAUUCCGCAUGUCCCAGAACGCACGUUUGGUAUGAUCCUAUGCGAAGUUUGCUUUCUGGCCACCCUAAGAUCUGGAUGAUGCCCAAAUUGACGGGGAGACCUAAGCGCGGGUAGUGUAACGUGAUGACCCCGCUGAUCAGGGGGUGAUGGUGAAAUAUUUCCGGAGCCAUUAGUCACGUCUCGAAACACGGGCCAAGGAGCAUAGCAUGUGCGCAAGUCUAAGGGUCUUACAAAACCUAGAGGCGAAGUGAAAGCAAAUGGUGUGUGUGUCUCUCUUGCUUCGGCAAGGGGCAUGCAGCUUGUGACUAACGUAAUUCCUGCGUGGAUGAAUGCGUCUCCGGCUCUAACCGGGUUGAUCCGUUGUAAUAAAGCCAGAUGGCGAUACAAUGGCGCAAACCCCAGACUCUGUCCAGGGCAUUGUCUGUGUUUUGUUGGAGUACUGUGGAGCGUGUAUGCUAUGACCCGAAAGAUAGUGAACUAUGCCUGGCGA